rnacentral:lncRNA from 1 species
AUGUCCUCCCUCCUUCCCUACAUCCCUCUCUUCCCUCUCUGUCCUCCCUCCUUCCCUACAUCCCUCCUUCCCUACAUCCUUCUCUUCCCUCUCUGUCCUCCCUCCUUCCCUACAUCCCUCUCUUCCCUCUCUGUCCUCCCUCCUUCCCUACAUCCCUCCUUCCCUACAUCCUUCUCUUCCCUCUCUGUCCUCCCUCCUUCCCUACAUCCCUCUCUUCCUUUUGAACCCGCUGGCAUGGUCACCCCUGUAAUGAGCUAUCCAAAUAUGCUGUGUCCUUACUGUGUCUCCUGCUGUCUUGACUACUGUGUCUCCUGCUGUCUUGACUACUGUGUCUCCUGCUGUCUUGACUACUGUGUCUCCUGCUGUCUUGACCACUGUGUCUCCUACUGUGUCUCCUGCUGUCUUGACUACUGUGUCUCCUACUGUGUCUCCUGCUGUCUUGACUACUGUGUCUCCUACUGUGUCUCCUGCUGUCUUGACUACUGUGUUGACUACUGUGUUGACUACUGUGUCUCCUGCUGUCUUGACUACUGUGUUGACUACUGUGUCUCCUGCCGUGUUGACUACUGUGUCUCCUGCUAUCUUGACGACUGUGUCUCCUACUGUGUCUCCUGCUGUGUUGACUACUGUGUUGACUACUGUGUCUCUUGCUGUGUUGACUACUGUGUCUCCUGCUGUGUCUCCUGCUGUGUUGACUACUGUGUCUCCUGCUGUGUCUCCUGCUGUGUUGACUACUGUGUCUCCUGCUGUGUCUCCUACUGUGUCUCCUACUGUGUCUCCCGCUGUGUCUCCUACUGUGUCUCCUGCUGUCUUGACUACUGUGUCUCCUACUCUGUCUCCUACUGUGUCUCCUGCUGUGUCUCCUACUGUGUCUCCUGCUGUCUUGACUACUGUGUCUCCUGCUGUUUCUCCUGCAGUCUUGACUACUGUGUCCCCUACUGUGUUGACAAAAAGUCUAACCAAAUCAAAUGUCAUUGGUCACAUACACAUAUUUAUCAGAUGUUAUUGUGGGUGUGGUGA